GACGAACGCUGGCGGCGUGCUUAACACAUGCAAGUCGAACGGAAAGGCCCUGCUUUUGUGGGGUGCUCGAGCGGCGAACGGGUGAGUAACACGUGAGUAACCUGCCCUUGACUUUGGGAUAACUUCAGGAAACUGGGGCUAAUACCGGAUAGGAGCUCCUGCUGCAUGGUGGGGGUUGGAAAGUUUCGGCGGUUGGGGAUGGACUCGCGGCUUAUCAGCUUGUUGGUGGGGUAGUGGCUUACCAAGGCUUUGACGGGUAGCCGGCCUGAGAGGGGGACCGGCCACAUUGGGACUGAGAUACGGCCCAGACUCCUACGGGAGGCAGCAGUGGGGAAUAUUGCACAAUGGGCGGAAGCCUGAUGCAGCAACGCCGCGUGCGGGAUGACGGCCUUCGGGUUGUAAACCGCUUUCGCCUGUGACGAAGCGUGAGUGACGGUAAUGGGUAAAGAAGCACCGGCUAACUACGUG
rnacentral:rRNA from 1 species